UACGGAAGGCAGCAGUGGGGAAUAUUGCACAAUGGGCGAAAGCCUGAUGCAGCUAUGCCGCGUGUAUGAAGAAGGCCUUAGGGUUGUAAAGUACUUUCAUCGGGGAGGAAAAAACAAAACUAAUAAUUUUAUUUCUUGACGUUACCCGAAAAAGAAGCACCGGCUAACUCCGUGCCAGCAGCCGCGGUAAUACGGAGGGUGCUAGCGUUAAUCAGAAUUACUGGGCGUAAAGAGCACGUAGGUGGUUUUUUUAAAGUCAGAUGUGAAUCCCUGGGCUUAACCUGGAACUGCAUUUUGAAACUGAAAUACUAGAGUAUCGUAGAGGGAGGUAGAAUUCUAGGUGUAGCGGUGAAAUGCGUAGAUAUCUGGAGGAAUACCUGUGGCGAAAGCGGCCUCCUAAACGAAUACUGACACUGAGGUGCGAAAGCGUGGGGAGCAAACAGGGAUUAGAUACCCGU
rnacentral:rRNA from 1 species